CCUACGGGAUGCAGCAGUGAGGAAUAUUGGUCAAUGGGCGCGAGCCUGAACCAGCCAAGUAGCGUGAAGGAUGACGGCCCUACGGGUUGUAAACCUCUUUUAUAAAGGAAUAAAGUGAGGCACGUGUGCCUUUUUGUAUGUACUUUAUGAAUAAGGAUCGGCUAACUCCGUGCCAGCAGCCGCGGUAAUACGGAGGAUCCGAGCGUUAUCCGGAUUUAUUGGGUUUAAAGGGAGCGUAGACGGGUUUUUAAGUCAGUUGUGAAAGUUUGCGGCUCAACCAUAAAAUUGCAAUUGAUACUGGCAGUCUUGAGUACAGUUGAGGUAGGCGGAAUGCGUGGUGUAGCGGUGAAAUGCUUAGAUAUCACGAAGAACUCCGAUUGCGAAGGCAGCUUGCUAAGCUGCCACUGACAUUGAUGCACGAAAGUGUGGGUAUCAAACAGGAUUAGAUACCCUAGUAGUC
rnacentral:rRNA from 1 species